ACACUUACCUGGACGGGGUCAAUGGGUGAUCAACAAGGCCCAUGGCCUAAGUUGGUGACCUCCACUGCACUUGGGAGGGGUGCCCGCCUAAGAUCAGCCCAAGUUGGUUGAGCCUACAUCCUAGUAGAGGGGGCCUGCGUUCGCGCGACUCCUGC